GAAGCGUUGGAACCUAUCACUUAGCCUAGCAUCUAGGUGAUGUGAUUCUCCUCUCUUGCCUGGUUCCUGCCCACUGGAGAGAUUGUGACCCAUUGCUGAGCCCAGGGCCAAGGUGAUGUCACUCUCCUGCCUUGGCUGUGCCCAUGGGGGCCACUGUGACACCUGUCUAGGCUAAUAACUUAAGUGAAGCGAGUCUCCUUUCCUGCCUAAGCUCUGCCUACAGGGGGGAUUUUGAUAUAUCACUGGGCCCAACAGCCAGGUUGUAUUGUGCCAUAUAUCUGUGUCCAAAUUAUAAGCACAAUGAUGAAUCUUUUACUGGGAGUCAAGAUAUGUGCAGGAUGGUGAAACUUAUCACUGGACCUUUCCACAGUGUUAUUGUCACAUAUACCUUUGUCCAACAUGUGAGUGAUUUGACUCUGCAGACUGGGUCCAGUUCACAAACAAAAUUGUGCCAUAUACCUGGGCCAAGAACCUAAUAGAUGGAGUCUUGCUCUGUUGCCCAGGCUGGAAUGCAAUGAUGCAAUCUCAGCUCACUGCAACCUCCAUCUCCCAGAUUCAAGUGGUUCUCCUGCCUCAGCCUCCCAAGUAGUUGGGACUACAGCCAAUAGAUGAAAAAAGAUGCAAAGAAGACACAUUUGCUUUUUAUGCACACAUCACUUCCAGUCACUAUGUUGAGCAGAGUCAGUGUGAGGACAAUUGAGAAUAGCAGUUUUCUGGCAGGACAGCCACUUCUCAGCAGAAGAUGACACAAUAAAAGUAUAAAUCUUUCAUGGGAGGCUCACAUAUUUUCAGCAAAUUAAGCAUAUGCAUGAAUAAAAUUCUUGUGGUAAAAUAAAGAUGCAUUUUGUUGAUUCCUAUGGAGCUC
rnacentral:lncRNA from 1 species